rnacentral:rRNA from 1 species
UACGGAAGGCAGCAGUGGGGAAUAUUGCACAAUGGGCGCAAGCCUGAUGCAGCCAUGCCGCGUGUAUGAAAAAGGCCUUCGGGUUGUAAAGUACUUUCAGUCGUGAGGAAGGUGUUAAGGUUAAUAACCUUAGCAAUUGACGUUAGCGACAGAAGAAGCACCGGCUAACUCCGUGCCAGCAGCCGCGGUAAUACGGAGGGUGCGAGCGUUAAUCGGAAUUACUGGGCUAAAGGGCACGCAGGCGGUUAAUUAAGUUGGAUGUGAAUCCCCGGGCUUAACCUGGGAAUGGCAUUCAAGACUGGUUAGCUAGAGUCUUGUAGAGGGGGUAGAAUUCCAUGUGUAGCGGUGAAAUGCGUAGAGAUGUGGAGGAAUACCGGUGGCGAAGGCGGCCCCUGGACAAAGACUGACGCUCAUGUGCGAAAGCGUGGGGAGCAAACAGGGAUUAGAUACCCGU